GGAGGAUGGGAAGGGACCCCCUCUCCCGCCCCCCCCAGGUUUAUUCAAUGAAGCGAUUUCGCGGGGGAGGGGGAUUUCUCUCUCUCUUUUUUUUAAAUUUAGGCCUUUAUAAUUGUAUAUUGCUGAUAAAUACACGCGUAUGGGGACUCUCUCUAUUAAACCCAGGACUCCGACGAAAUUGCAGGGAAUUCAUGGUCACGGGACCGGUCUCCGCCAAUCGCUCGUCUGGGCCUGGUGGAAAACACAGGCAUUAUUUGCUUUAAUUGAUUCAAAAACUCCAGAGGACCACGACCUGGAUACCAUAAGCCUUCCUCCUGUACCCCCAUUCCAAUACCAGCGCCCCACACUCUCCCCAAUUGCUCCUUUUCCCCCCAAGAAAAGCCAGAAGAACCACUUCCUCCCCUUCAGAAACUGUGUGGUGGUGGGAACCUGCCAAAGGACCACAUUUAAGGGAGAAGUGGGCUUCUUGUCUAAAGAUUUUAAUUGAGUCAAUUAAUAUGCUUUCUUUAUGUGGUCAUCAGUACCUUCUCACCCUUCCAACCACCCCCCAAAAGAGCAAAAGCUCAUUCGGGAGGAAGUGGGAGUAGAAAGAGGUUUCCACUCUUUGGGGGAAAGGUCAAUAUUAAGGUGAAAAAUCAGAACGGAGAUUGAUGAAUGGCAACACUAACCACCACCAGCCCAGUCCCACCCACCCUCUACAUGCAGCAGUUCAAACUUAAGAAAUGCACAGGCUGGCACGAAGCAGUCAGGUGCCAGGAGCACUUUGGAGCACUGGUCUCCCUCUCCUGUUAGCUGCCCUGGAUUCUCUUCUCUGCCCAGUAUUUACAGGCAACCCUUUACAUCCACCUGCCUUCCUGUUGAGGUCAUCUAUACUCACACUCUGACACCCCAGCACUGGCCAUGGGAGGGUCUAAGAAGGUCUAAGAUGGCAGACACAUUCAUAGUCCUCAGGUUGUAUCUAUGGCUACAUCCAAGGGCAACAAGGUAGCCAUCCACAUAACUUUCAAAGCUAAAGUCAAUACAUGGGGGGGGGCGCUUUCCCUCAGGACAAAGGGACUUUCCCUCCCAUAUUGGCUUUUGUGCAAUUGUUUUUAAUCCCUGCUUUUAAAAAAGUUCCCUAAAGAUGAAGGGACGAGAAAUAACGACCAGCACUGAGAUUAUAUUCUGUUUACGGCCCCCAGAGGGGAAAAUUUAAUGUAUUUUAUUGUGAGAAGAUUAUGAUAGGCUCAACUUUAGAAUGUUGUAAUUUACUAGAGGGAGGAGACACAAAACUCAGAGCCACAAGCAAUUUGGUGGGAAACUAGGCCUCAAAGCUGAAAAUGCAAAGUCGAUCUGGGGGAAGAUUUUUAAAUAAGUGGGUCAGAGGGACCAAGAGGAGAUGAGGCGAUCAAUCUUAACCCCCUGACAGCUCCCUCCGAUUGCUUCAAAGAAUUUGGCUCUUUGGGAAAGCAGAGGGAACAGCCUAAAUUCCACAUCCCUUAAAAAGGCCUGAGGGAGGGGGUAGCAAAAGAGAAAGGUGAUUCUGGGAGGGCCAGGAAACAGAUGGGAAAUGGGGACAGAGGGAAGGCGCUAACUUGGGUGGAAAGUUUGCCUCGGAGAACUCCCACGGCUCUGGCCUCCCCUCCCCCUCUUUGCUCUCUGCCGCCCAGCCUAGAGGAGGAGGCUGUUUAGCAGAGAAAUGGCAACUCAGCGGAGAGCUGGAACUAGAAACUUUCUGUCAAUGUAAAGUCCGCGUGGGUGGUGGUGAGUAUUUAUAGAAAGGGGGGGGAAAGGAAAGAAAAUAAAAAGAGAAGUCUGACUAGAAGGUGGGUGGCGGAGGAGCUGGAUGUAUCUGGCUGCAAGCACAGAAAGAGGCAGGCUCUUGGGGAACUGCUAAUUGGGCCAGAGGGCCAGAGAGGGAAGUGUGUAACUCAGUUUUUAAAAAUUAGAUGUAUACAAUAUUAUAUAUAGUAUAUUAUAUGUAUAUAUAUAUUCCACUUGGGUGGUGGUUAGCAGGGAGGAAUCCAAAUAGUAGCGGUGUGCAGGUUGUACAGUGAGGCCUGUGAGGGGCUUUCUCCAUGGUGGUGCCCUUGGACACCUCUACAAGUUUUGUAACAAACCAGUUGGCUGCAUGCAGUAUCCAGGGUUCUUCUAAGGCAAUUGGGGCCCAGACUGUCCAGUAGGAAAUAUAGCUCUCUAACCCUUGAUGACAGAUUUUAUGGCCAGAUCAGUGAAAGGCAGAAAAUUUGGGUGUUAAAGGGAGGGGACAAGAGAACCCUUAGAGACAUCCCUCCUGCACCCUAUCUGAUAGGAAUCUUACAGCACAGAUUUUUAGCCACGUUCUUAACAGCUUUAGCUGAGUACCUGGAGUCAUGAAGACAGAAGGCUAGCUUCUGUUUUUGUUUAUAGCCCUAGCUUCAAGCCAAAGCACUGCUUUUCAUCUAUCUAGCUAAAGUCUCUCUUAUAGAUAAAUAAUUUAUCUUAUUGAUAAAUAAAUAAACCCACCCCUCCCUUCCUCCACCUCAGAGCCAAACAUGACCCUUCAUGUAGUUAUAUCAUUCAGAAAAAGUUACUCAGGGAAGACACAAAGGAAAGCAAAGACAGACCCCUGAGCGUUAUUUGAUCCCAAUCAAACUUUGCACGCUCCUCUGCCUUUAAUUUAUAGCCUGACCCAAUGCUAAAUUGCUUGCUGCCUGGAUGAGCCAAGUCCAGUUAAAAAAUCCUACUUGGUGGGGAGGGGGUAUAGUAUUGAGGUUGUUUUUUUAUUGUUAUUUAUUGUUGCAUAAAGACUGUAAUUACUAACCUUGGACUGCCAGGAUGCAACAUAAAAAUGAAAAUCAGCCCUCGCUUUAAGGCUGAGGGCCUGGAACGAUUCUCACCCCCCCCAAAUCACCACUACCACCAAAUAUAUGCUCCUAAUUAAGCAAUGCGGGCGGGCACAACGCGUACAAUUAGAAUUAUGUAACUCUUCAGCAAGCAGCCAUCGCUUCUUUCAACGAAUUAGCUCCAUAUUUCAGCCUCCCUGUCUCCUCGCUCUUAUCGGAUACUGCGAUGCGGUGGUGACAUUUCAUCUUUGACAGACCCUCUCUAUCCUCGCUCCAAUGUGAUAAAACUUUUAUGGAACCAGGACUAAGAAAUGAAGUUUUCCCAAGGAUAGUGGAAACAGAGCCUCACAUUAGCCUGGGGACCAUUUUAUUUACGCUGGGUUUCAACAGCUUCCCUCACUUCCUUCCCGUUUCCCUGGCAAGAGAAAUCAAACCAGCCUCCUCAGUUCCUUUGCCCUGGGCUUCAUUUAAUGAUUUAAUUUCACUUUAGUUCUAAGGCUUGACUGAGAAGUCUAGGCCUCGGUUUGUUGUUGUUUCCCCCAGAUUAAUCAUUUUCCUUUGUUUUCAUUUUAGACCCAAUGGUGGUUGGGCUUCGGGUCACGUGACAGCCUCCUUGUAGCUCCGGAAGAGAACCGUGAAGUUUAGGAGAAUGAAAGGGAACACCAAAAAAACCAAAAAUCAAGAUCUGGGGGGGAGUUCCACAGAGAUGGAAGGAAAAAAAAGUAAAAAGAAAAAAAAGAUUGUGCAACUGCUGGAAUUUUCUACUGAGGUGGGGGAGAUUAUUCAGGAUGAAAAAGACUCACAAAAGAAUUUGAACACGAUUCUUCUCUGGGUUUGAAACGGGGGCUGUUUACUGAGGUUCCCAACAGCAAAAUAAAAUAAAGUAAAGUAAAAUUGCAGUCACUAUUUUACUACAGCCCUUAAAAGUGCACCAGAAAAAAUAAAGCUUAACCAUAUCAGGGAAGUUUGUAUUUGUUCCCAGAUUUCUGACUGUGUCUCCCCUUUCCCUGUGUCUCCUCCAGCCCUCCGUGGGUGGGUACUUCCCUGUAACCUCCAGACUGAUCAUGUGCUUUUGGAAAAUCUUAAAAUAUCAUUCAGCCCAGAUGGUCAAAUCCAAAGAAAACUUAGUAAAAAGAAAACGGAAGGAAUGCAAGUGGCGUGAGUCCCUCCCUCACAUAAAUGCUGCUUUUAAUGAUAGAUUCAUACUUAAAAGGGAGCUGGUGUAGCCCUGAGAUCCGAUUGGUUUCCGAGAAAUU